CAAUUGUUGAAGUCAAGAAGACUGAGAAGGACCUGCCCCUUAUUAGAAAGUUGGUGGAGACCACGUUUCCCCUAUGCCAACAGACCAUAGUAAUGUUCUGCCCACCAGUGAACGAGCUCAUGGACCUCUGGCCUGCUCUCAAAAUAGAGUCCGAGUUUUAUGCAUAGUUCCAGCGGAUUACGAAUCAGAACCUGCCCAGACCAUUUAAUGCUGAGCUUGACCUCCAUCUCCCUCGACUGAUGACCUUAUUCAGAGAGAAGAUAUCAAAAAUUGGGAAGACAGCAGAUGCUCGGCUGAAAUUUUAAAAAUCCACGAUGAACAGGAAAUCCAUGACAUCCAAACCAAGUGCAAUACCGUUCUUCAUGCCCUUCCUGUGUAUCUGCACGAGGACGUUUCUGGAUUUUUCAGAACCUGCAUAACCGAGUCUGAUGAGCCAGAGCUUGAUGGUGUUGCAGUGGGCCUCCUUACUGUCAUCAGUGACCAUGACACAAGUCCAGUUCACUACCACCCUGUGAGAAUCUCUGUCGUCAUUGAAAGUGAUGCCGUGGUCAUCCUCCUCAGACUUGCAGAUGCCUUCCUGGUAAUCUUUGGACUGAUCUAUGCACUAAUCCUCAGCUAUCCCAAAGCACUGACCAACACUUUUGAAUUCACUCAAAAUAUUUAACUUGGUCUAGAAAGUGGUAAACUGUCACCCAGGUUGCAGACCCUCAAGAAUGACUUGAUGAUGUAGAAACUCAUCUAAGAAAGCUGCAGGGUAAAGCAUUAUAAAAGGCUAGUUUAAAGUUAUCUCCUUUUGUCUAAAUAAUGCCUCAAAAAGUUACUGCACUACUUUGCAGGUGUUCAGCCAAUAGGCCCAAACUACACAAUAUGCCUUUGUUCUCAUUAAUAUAAUGCAAAAGUAACGCUAAUGUUUUGUAUGUUUUAAUGUUUUUUUCAACCAUUGUGGUCUGUGCAAGAUGACCCACAUUUCACUGUGCAUUUGAUACUGGUUAAUGUAAAACAUUUACAUUUUAGAAUUUUAAGUAAAAAACUGUUGCCUUACUCAGGAAUUAGCCAGGAAGCCAAAAGCACACAGUGUUUUUUAUUUUAUAGCUGAAAAGAAACAUUAUUUCAUUUUGGUAUUAUUUAUUAUUGUUUUUGAUUACUCUGAUUAUUUUCCUGACUAUCUGAUUAGUUGUAUGGUCAAUAUCAGAAAUUUGUGAUAAAUAUCUAUUUCCUAGGGCCUUAAAUGACCAGGAACACAUUUGGAACAUUUGAGUUUUUCUUCUUAAAAAUCUCUCAAAUUUAUGAAUAAAAUUAGUUUGCAAAUAAUCAGUUAAUCUACUUCUUACAGCUCUGCAAUUUAAGUAAAAUAAUUUUUUUGUUCUGUUUAUUUUAAUUUAUAAAUGUUUAUUAUUUAUUUUUCUAUUUCAUUUUAACAUUGCAGUGUGCUAAAAGGGAGCGGGCAAGAAAAUACUGUUCAAUAGCAGACGUUCAUGACUUUUAAAUAUGUUUAGUUAGUUAAACUCAAUGUAAUUGAGGCAAUCAAUUGCCUCAAA